GUUGUAUGGUUAAGUGACUAAGCGUACACGGUGGAUGCCUUGGCAGUCAGAGGCGAUGAAGGACGUAUUAACUUGCGAUAAGCCCAGAUUAGGUAGUAAAAACCAUUUGAGUCUGGGAUUUCCGAAUGGGGAAACCCACUAGCAUAAGCUGGUAUCGCUGCGUGAAUACAUAGCGCAGCGAGGCGAACCGGGGGAACUGAAACAUCUAAGUACCCGAGGAAAAGAAAUCAACCGAGAUUCCGAAAGUAGCGGCGAGCGAAAUUGGACUAGCCCUUAAGCUUUUUAUGCGUCAGGUGAAACUUCUGGAAAGUUGUGCGAUACAGGGUGAUAGCCCCGUAACCGGCAACGCAUUUUAAGUGAAAUCGAGUAGGGCGGGACACGUGAUAUCCUGUCUGAAUAUGGGGGGACCAUCCUCCAAGGCUAAAUACUACUGACUGACCGAUAGUGAACCAGUACCGUGAGGGAAAGGCGAAAAGAACCCCUGUGAGGGGAGUGAAAUAGAACCUGAAACCGUGUACGUACAAGCAGUAGGAGCACCUUCGUGGUGUGACUGCGUACCUUUUGUAUAAUGGGUCAGCGACUUAUAUUCAGUGGCAAGGUUAACCAUCUAGGGGAGCCGUAGGGAAACCGAGUCUUAACUGGGCGUUCAGUCUCUGGAUAUAGACCCGAAACCAGGUGAUCUAGCCAUGGGCAGGUUGAAGGUUGAGUAACAUCAACUGGAGGACCGAACCGACUAAUGUUGAAAAAUUAGCGGAUGACUUGUGGCUAGGGGUGAAAGGCCAAUCAAACCUGGAGAUAGCUGGUUCUCCCCGAAAGCUAUUUAGGUAGCGCCUCGGACGAAUACUACUGGGGGUAGAGCACUGUUAAGGCUAGGGGGUCAUCCCGACUUACCAACCCUUUGCAAACUCCGAAUACCAGUAAGUACUAUCCGGGAGACACACGGCGGGUGCUAACGUCCGUCGUGGAGAGGGAAACAACCCAGACCGCCAGCUAAGGUCCCAAAUUACUACUAAGUGGGAAACGAUGUGGGAAGGCUCAGACAGCCAGGAUGUUGGCUUAGAAGCAGCCAUCAUUUAAAGAAAGCGUAAUAGCUCACUGGUCGAGUCGGCCUGCGCGGAAGAUGUAACGGGGCUAAGUAGUAAACCGAAGCUGCGGCAAUGCACUUUAGUGCAUUGGGUAGGGGAGCGUUCUGUAAGCGGUUGAAGGUGUGUGGUAACGCAUGCUGGACGUAUCAGAAGUGCGAAUGCUGACAUGAGUAACGAUAAAGGGGGUGAAAAACCUCCUCGCCGGAAGACCAAGGGUUCCUGUCCAACGUUAAUCGGGGCAGGGUAAGUCGACCCCUAAGGCGAGGCCGAAAGGCGUAGUCGAUGGGAAACGGGUUAAUAUUCCCGUACUUCUUACAAUUGCGAUGGGGGGACGGAGAAGGCUAGGUGGGCCUGGCGACGGUUGUCCAGGUUCAAGUGCGUAGGCUGAGAAAUUAGGUAAAUCCGGUUUCUCUUAAGGCUGAGACACGACGUCGAGCUACUACGGUAGUGAAGUCAUUGAUGCCAUGCUUCCAGGAAAAGCCUCUAAGCUUCAGAUUGUAAGGAAUCGUACCCCAAACCGACACAGGUGGUCGGGUAGAGAAUACCAAGGCGCUUGAGAGAACUCGGGUGAAGGAACUAGGCAAAAUGGUACCGUAACUUCGGGAGAAGGUACGCUCUCGACGGUGAAGUCCCUCGCGGAUGGAGCUAUUGAGAGUCGCAGAUACCAGGUGGCUGCAACUGUUUAUUAAAAACACAGCACUGUGCAAAAUCGUAAGAUGACGUAUACGGUGUGACGCCUGCCCGGUGCCGGAAGGUUAAUUGAUGGGGUUAGACUUCGGUCGAAGCUCUUGAUCGAAGCCCCGGUAAACGGCGGCCGUAACUAUAACGGUCCUAAGGUAGCGAAAUUCCUUGUCGGGUAAGUUCCGACCUGCACGAAUGGCGUAAUGAUGGCCACGCUGUCUCCACCCGAGACUCAGUGAAAUUGAAAUCGCUGUGAAGAUGCAGUGUACCCGCGGCUAGACGGAAAGACCCCGUGAACCUUUACUACAGCUUGGCACUGAACAUUGACCCUACAUGUGUAGGAUAGGUGGGAGGCUUUGAAACUAGUACGCCAGUAUUAGUGGAGCCGUCCUUGAAAUACCACCCUUGUAGUGUUGAUGUUCUAACGUUGACCCCUUAUCGGGGUUGCGGACAGUGCCUGGUGGGUAGUUUGACUGGGGCGGUCUCCUCCCAAAGCGUAACGGAGGAGCACGAAGGUGGGCUAAUCACGGUUGGACAUCGUGAGGUUAGUGCAAUGGCAUAAGCCCGCUUGACUGCGAGAAUGACAAUUCGAGCAGGUGCGAAAGCAGGUCAUAGUGAUCCGGUGGUUCUGAAUGGAAGGGCCAUCGCUCAACGGAUAAAAGGUACUCCGGGGAUAACAGGCUGAUACCGCCCAAGAGUUCAUAUCGACGGCGGUGUUUGGCACCUCGAUGUCGGCUCAUCACAUCCUGGGGCUGAAGUCGGUCCCAAGGGUAUGGCUGUUCGCCAUUUAAAGUGGUACGCGAGCUGGGUUUAGAACGUCGUGAGACAGUUCGGUCCCUAUCUGCCGUGGGCGUUGGAAGAUUGAAGGGGGCUGCUCCUAGUACGAGAGGACCGGAGUGGACGAACCUCUGGUGUUCGGGUUGUGUCGCCAGACGCAUUGCCCGGUAGCUAAGUUCGGAAUCGAUAACCGCUGAAAGCAUCUAAGCGGGAAGCGAGCCCUGAGAUGAGUCUUCCCUGAUACUUUAAGUAUCCUGAAGGGUUGUUCGAGACUAGAACGUUGAUAGGCAGGGUGUGUAAGCGUUGUGAGGCGUUGAGCUAACCUGUACUAAUUGCCCGUGAGGCUUAGCCAUACAACACCCAAGGGGUUU
rnacentral:rRNA from 1 species